rnacentral:rRNA from 1 species
AUCAUGGCUCAGAGCGAACGCUGGCGGCAGGCUUAACACAUGCAAGUCGAACGGGCGUAGCAAUACGUCAGUGGCAGACGGGUGAGUAACGCGUGGGAACGUACCUUUUGGUUCGGAACAACACAGGGAAACUUGUGCUAAUACCGGAUAAGCCCUUACGGGGAAAGAUUUAUCGCCGAAAGAUCGGCCCGCGUCUGAUUAGCUUGUUGGUGAGGUAACGGCUCACCAAGGCGACGAUCAGUAGCUGGUCUGAGAGGAUGAUCAGCCACAUUGGGACUGAGACACGGCCCAAACUCCUACGGGAGGCAGCAGUGGGGAAUAUUGGACAAUGGGCGAAAGCCUGAUCCAGCCAUGCCGCGUGAGUGAUGAAGGCCCUAGGGUUGUAAAGCUCUUUUGUGCGGGAAGAUAAUGACGGUACCGCAAGAAUAAG